rnacentral:tRNA from 1 species
GGCCCCGUGACCGAGUGGUUAGGUACCGGACUGCAAAUCCGUUUACACCAGUUCAAAUCUGGUCGGGGCCU